rnacentral:rRNA from 1 species
UACAGAGGGCCCAACCGUUGUUCGGAUUCAUUGGGCGUAAAGGGUGCGUAGGCGGCGUGGCAAGUCAGGUGUGAAAUCUCGGGGCUCAACCCCGAAACUGCACUUGAUACUGCCUUGCUCGAGUACUGGAGAGGAGACUGGAAUUUACGGUGUAGCAGUGAAAUGCGUAGAUAUCGUAAGGAAGACCAGUGGCGAAGGCGAGUCUCUGGACAGUUACUGACGCUGAGGCACGAAGGCCAGGGGAGCAAACGGG